UACAGAGGUCCCAAGCGUUGUUCGGAUUCACUGGGCGUAAAGGGUGCGUAGGUGGUGAGGUAAGUCGGAUGUGAAAUCUCCGAGCUCAACUCGGAAAUGGCAUUGGAAACUACCUUGCUCGAGGGUUGGAGGGGGGACUGGAAUGCUUGGUGUAGCAGUGAAAUGCGUAGAUAUGCGGAGGAACACCGAUGGCGAAGGCAAUCCCCUGGGCCUGUACUGACGCUCAUGCACGAAAGCGUGGGGAGCAAACAGG
rnacentral:rRNA from 1 species